CGAACGAACGCUGGCGGCGUGCUUAAUACAUGCAAGUCGAACGUGAAUCCCGACUUCGGUUGGGAUGAAAGUGGCGAACGGGUGAGUAACACGUAAGUAAUCUGCCUUCAAGUUUGGGAUAACCCUGCCAACGCGGGGCUAAUACCGGAUGUGGUCCAGCUGACACAUGUUGGCUGGAUUAAAGGUCGCGAGGCCGCUUGGAGAUGAGCUUGCGGCCCAUUAGCUAGUUGGUGAGGUAACGGCCCACCAAGGCAGGGAUGGGUAGCCGGCCUGAGAGGGUGUACGGCCACAUUGGGACUGAGAUACGGCCCAGACUCCUACGGGAGGCAGCAGUAGGGAAUUUUGCGCAAUGGGGGAAACCCUGACGCAGCGACGCCGCGUGGAGGAUGACGGCCUUCGGGUUGUAAACUCCUGUCAGAAGGGACGAAAUCCCGCAAGGGACUGACGGUACCUUCAGAGGAAGCCCCGGCUAACUACGUG
rnacentral:rRNA from 1 species